rnacentral:rRNA from 1 species
CCUACGGGAGGCAGCAGUCGAGAAUCAUUCACAAUGGGGGAAACCCUGAUGGUGCGACGCCGCGUGGGGGAAUGAAGGUCUUCGGAUUGUAAACCCCUGUCAUGUGGGAGCAAAUUAAAAAGAUAGUACCACAAGAGGAAGAGACGGCUACCUCUGUGCCAGCAGCCGCGGUAAUACAGAGGGCUCAAGCGUUGUUCGGAGUGACUGGGCGUAAGGCGUGCGUAGGCUGUUUCGUAAGUCGUGUGUGAAAGGCGCGGGCGCAACCCGCGGACGGCAGGUGAUACUGUGAGAUGGGAGUGGGGGAGAGGAGAGUGGAAGUGCAGGGGUAGGGGGGAAAGGCGGAGAGAGAGGGAGGAAAACGAGUGGCGAAGGAGACCAGAGGGAACAGAAAGGA